AAAUCCCCAACCCCUCCACAGCCAUUUUUUAAAAAGAGAGAAUUGUGUGUAGCAGGCAUGUGUCUGUGUGGGGGUGUGCACAUGUGGAUGUAGUUACCUGUGGAGACCGGUGGAGAGCAUUGGAUCCUCCAAAGCGACAGUGAUGGGUAGUCGUGGACAGCUGGGGCUCUGCAAGAGCAGUGCGUCUUACAUGUCCGAACAUCCUGCUAGACCUUCCAGUUGUGUUUUAACUUCCUCAGCGCACUCAUCUCUCCACAACGGCGCUGCAGGCUGAAGCUCAUCCCUCAGUUACCGAACUGCGGUCUUUGCCCCAGUGAUGAUGAUGGAGCCUUUGGGAGGCGACAGAUCACGAGGGUGGGGUUUCCUCAAGGGGACUGGUGUACUGACUGAAGGGGCUUUGGGGGACAGGAAACCCAUUUCCACUCGAGACAUAGCAAGAGGCCUGUCCUCAGUGUCCCUAGAACUCUCCGAGUUGACUCCUUGGUUUUCAGGACUAAAAUGACAGUGUGUUGUCUACCUAAGCUGGGGAGUGGCCUAGUUGUACAGCAUUUGCCCAGCUUGAAUCAACCCCUAGUUCUAGCCCGAUACUGGGAGGAAUGAAAUGUGUUCUGGCUGACUGGUACAGCAUGUAGAGGUCUCCCUGACCUUAUCUCUGCGGGGCAGGGCUCAGGGCCGUUUCAGUUCACAUCAGAAGUAGCUCCUGAAGGAGACACUGUAAGGGGAUGGGGGGAGAUAUGGCCAUACCUCCAUCAGUCACAUGUUCUGGCUGACUUGUAAGUGUAAGUGGCGUAAAAGCAAAUUUACAUUGUUUUCUUCUUGUGCUCUUAAGCCCAGAUUCUAAAUAGUGGGCUCUAACACCCACUUAGGUUGAUCACACCCUCCUCCACCUGACCCCCUCUGUGUUUUGAGCUCACUCCAUGACUGAGGGCAACUUGAUUUUCCUGUCAGUGCUGGGAUUACAAUGUCCCCUACUAAGCUUGCUUGUGUUGGAUAUUGUCUACAGAAACAAGUGUUGGCCUGGGGCCGGGGACAGGCAUGGUCUGAAAGUCCAAGAUAACCAGCAAAUCUGUGUUUUCCUUUCAAAAAUGGUUUCAAUGGGUUCCGCGUGGUGUUUCGAAUCUGUAACCACAGCAGGUGAUGGAGAAGAUCAGUUCACGCCCAGCCUCUCCUACAUAGUGAACUAAGGCCAGCCUGGACUACAGGAGUCUGUCUCAGAACACAAACUGAAAGGGUUUCAGAUAAACCACAAAACACACGAAACGGGCUGUGGUGCAGCAUAGUGCUUGGUGAGGACUCACCAGGUGUGAGGGCUCACCAGGUGUGAGGGCUCACCAGGUGUGAGGCCUGGGUGCUGCCUAGAAUCCUUCGAAAAACUCAACAGUGCCCAAAACUGGCUGUGUUGCCAGGUGAAGAGGCACAUUUCCAAGGCUGCCAUCUUGGGGUUCUUCUAGAGGAGAGCAGAGAGGUUAAGUGUACACAGACGAGAGAAGACUCCCUGGUCACAGGCUGAAAAGUCUGACAGGAUACCUGCAGGUUAGAGAUGCUGGCAUGCUGGCAGCUGACUUAGUCUAAAGGCAAGGCUUAGAAGCAGUGACACCAAUGCUGUGGGUCUCUGUCAGACGGCCUGGAGUAGGUCCCAGGGAAAGUGGGGAAGAGAAGACCAAGCCUGGAGCUCUGAUAUAAGUGGCCAAACGGUAUCUACCGAGGAGGACUCUUUUCACCUGGUCUUGUGAGACUCAAACUAGUCUCUAGAAAUGUUCUCACAGAUACCCCAAAAUGAUAUUCUCUCAGGUUUCUGGAAAUUCUUCAUCGAGUCAGCUGGUACAUUUUUAACUUCAACCCCAAUGCUAUAAUCUCAGAAAGCAAUGGGAAUCCCAGAGCUGGGAGAGCGUGCGUGCGUGUAUGCGUGCGUGCAUGUGUGUGUGUGUGUGUGCGCACACACACGUAUGUCAGCGCUGUCUGAUGUUGUAGUGGCACACCCAUCCAAAUCCCCAAAACACACCAGGAGGAAGAGGGCAUGCCUGGGACUCUUCAGUCGCAAGGACAGACUCAGGUCAUGGGGAUUGGGA
ensembl:lncRNA